rnacentral:rRNA from 1 species
GUGGGGAAUAUUGCGCAAUGGGCGCAAGCCUGAUGCAGUGACGCCGCGUGAGUGAAGAAGUAUUUCGGUAUGUAAAGCUCUAUCAGCAGGGAAGAAAAUGACGGUACCUGACUAAGAAGCACCGGCUAAAUACGUGCCAGCAGCCGCGGUAAUACGUAUGGUGCAAGCGUUAUCCGGAUUUACUGGGUGUAAAGGGAGCGUAGGUGGCAAGGCAAGCCAGAAGUGAAAACCCGGGGCUCAACCGCGGGAUUGCUUUUGGAACUGCCAUGCUAGAGUGCAGGAGGGGUGAGCGGAAUUCCUAGUGUAGCGGUGAAAUGCGUAGAUAUUAGGAGGAACACCGGAGGCGAAGGCGGCUCACUGGACUGUAACUGACACUGAGGCUCGAAAGCGUGGGGAGCAAACAGGAUUAGAUACCCGGGUAGUCC